UGGGUUGGCCAGGCGGCCGCGUGGGGAGUACCAGAUACUCCUCCCGAGGAACGUCCGGGCUCCACAGGGCAGGGUGGUGGGUAACGCCCACUCGGGGUAACCCGCAGGACAGUGCCACAGAGAAUAGACCGCCCCGGCAGUCCGCUGCACGGGGUAAGGGUGAAAAGGUGGUGUAAGAGACCACCAGCGCGCCGGGUGACCGGCGCGGCUAGGUAAACCCCACCCGGAGCAAGGCCAGACAGGGCGCGCUUGAAGGCUGCCCGCCUGAGCGCCCGGGUAGGCCGCUGGAGGGCGUCGGCAACGGCGCUCGUAGAUGGAUGGCCGCCACUGCAGGCGUUCGACGUCGGCAGGACAGAACCCGGCGUAUCGGCCAGCCCAUCCU
rnacentral:RNase_P_RNA from 1 species